rnacentral:rRNA from 1 species
UACAGAGGGGGCAAGCGUUGUUCGGAAUUACUGGGCGUAAAGGGCGCGUAGGCGGCCAUCUAAGUCGAACGUGAAAUCCCCUGGGCUCAACCCAGGAACUGCGUCCGAUACUGGAAGGCUUGAAUCCGGGAGAGGGAUGCGGAAUUCCAGGUGUAGCGGUGAAAUGCGUAGAUAUCUGGAGGAACACCGGUGGCGAAGGCGGCAUCCUGGACCGGUAUUGACGCUGAGGCGCGAAAGCCAGGGGAGCAAACGGG